UACGUAGGGAGCAAGCGUUGUCCGGAAUCAUUGGGCGUAAAGGGCGCGUAGGCGGCCCUCUAAGUCGAACGUGAAAUCCCCGGGCUCAACCCGGGAACUGCGUCCGAUACUGGAAGGCUUGAAUCCGGGAGAGGGAUGCGGAAUUCCAGGUGUAGCGGUGAAAUGCGUAGAUAUCUGGAGGAACACCGGUGGCGAAGGCGGCAUCCUGGACCGGCAUUGACGCUGAGGCGCGAAAGCCAGGGGAGCAAACGGG
rnacentral:rRNA from 1 species